rnacentral:rRNA from 1 species
UACGUAGGGGGCAAGCGUUGUCCGGAAUCAUUGGGCGUAAAGCGCGUGUAGGCGGCCAGGUAAGUCCGUUCUGAAAGCCCGGGGCUCAACCCCGGGAGGCGGAUGGAUACUGCUUGGCUCGAGUCCGGAAGAGGCGAGUGGAAUUCCCGUGUAGCGGUGAAAUGCGCAGAUAUCGGGAGGAACACCAAUGGCGAAGGCAGCUCGCUGGGACGGUACUGACGCUGAGACGCGAAAGCGUGGGGAGCAAACAGG